GAGGCGUAGUUAUUCGAGCCGCCACCACCUCUUCCUCCUCUCCUCCUGGGACGGCCACCGGCGACUCCAAUCCGGUAACACAGGUCUUAUUCGUCUACCCUUCAUUCGCAAUUCGAUUUAUCAUCGGAUUUAGACCUUUUAUACUCUAUCCUUCAUUCGCAAUUCGAUUAAUCAUCGGAUUUAGACCUUUUACACUCUGUCCGCUUCUUAGUUAAUGUCACGGGAGAGGAAUGGUUCGGUGAUGUGCAGACU
rnacentral:lncRNA from 1 species